rnacentral:rRNA from 1 species
UGGGGAAUAUUGCACAAUGGGCGCAAGCCUGAUGCAGCCAUGCCGCGUGUAUGAAGAAGGCCUUCGGGUUGUAAAGUACUUUCAGCGGGGAGGAAGGGAGUAAAGUUAAUACCUUUGCUCAUUGACGUUACCCGCAGAAGAAGCACCGGCUAACUCCGUGCCAGCAGCCGCGGUAAUACGGAGGGUGCAAGCGUUAAUCGGAAUUACUGGGCGUAAAGCGCACGCAGGCGGUUUGUUAAGUCAGAUGUGAAAUCCCCGGGCUCAACCUGGGAACUGCAUCUGAUACUGGCAAGCUUGAGUCUCGUAGAGGGGGGUAGAAUUCCAGGUGUCGCGGUGAAAUGCGUAGAGAUCUGGAGGAAUACCGGUGGCGAAGGCGGCCCCCUGGACGAAGACUGACGCUCAGGUGCGAAAGCGUGGGGAGCAAACAGG